AGCGCAGGCGGUUUGACCAGUCUAAAGUGGAAGCCCGGGGCUCAACCUCGGAAGUGCUUUGGAUACUGUCAAACUUGAGUUCGUGAGAGGAAAGCGGAAUUCCAGGUGUAGCGGUGAAAUGCGUAGAUAUCUGGAGGAACACCGGUGGCGAAAGCGGCUUUCUGGCACGAUACUGACGCUGAGGCUCGAAAGCGUGGGGAGCGAACAGGAUUAGAUACCUGGUAGUCC
rnacentral:rRNA from 1 species